AUUGAACGCUGGCGGCAUGCUUUACACAUGCAAGUCGGACGAGUGGCGAACGGGUGAGUAAUAUCUUGGAACGUACCGCGUAGUGGGGGAUAACAAAUCGAAAGAUUGGCUAAUACCGCAUACUAUUCGAGCGGCCAAUAUCGGAGUAGCUAGUUGUGGGGGUAAAGGCGUACCAAGGCGACGAUCAGGAGCGGGUCUGAGAGGAUGAUCCGCCACACUGGGACUUAGACACGGCCCAGAAUCCUACGGGAGGCAGCAGUGGGGAAUUUUGUACAAUGGGCGCAAGCCUGAUCCAGCCAUGCCGCGUGUCUGAAGAAGGCCUUCGGGUUGUAAAGGACUUUUGUUAGGGAAGCGGUACCUAAAGAAUAAGCACCGGCUAACUACGUGCCAGCAGCCGCGGUAAUUC
rnacentral:rRNA from 1 species